GGCCCCGUAGCCUAGCCUGGAUAAGGCGACAGCCUUCUAAGCUGUAGAUCGGGGGUUCGAAUCCCCCCGGGGCCG
rnacentral:tRNA from 1 species